rnacentral:lncRNA from 1 species
UGGAGCUUGAGCACAUGGAUUAAAAAAAAAAUGCUCAGAAAGGUUUCUUAGUCCAUCCCUGGCAGAGAGGCCACUGACAGUGUUACUAUCCCAGUUUCUUCAUUUGUCGGGUUAUCCUUGGGCUACACCACCUGAUUUGAUAACUGUUGUUUUAUCUUGAAUUUUAAUUAUCUAGUAAGGCUAGUGCCCCCUUAGAACUCUGGAAACAACUGGAGCUAUUUGCUUUUGCCUAUUUAUACUUCUACAUCAGUGGUUCUCAAGCUUUCUCCUGGGGAACUUGGCCAAAACACAACAGCCUAUGCUCCAUCUGAACACGGGCCUUGGAUUGCCCUUUGUUAGUGUUCUGGGUGAUUCCGAAGCAUGGUUUGUGAACCAUGUUCUAGAAUCUAGAUUAUCCUCCCAGAAGUUUUUUUUUUUUUUUUUAAAUCUUAUCAGGGCUUUCAACUAGAUUUGCAUUAAGUUUCCGACAUGGUCUUCAAGACUCAACAAGGUUCACUCUCUCCAUAAGGAUUUCUCUCGUUGUUCCAGCCCAACCUCAUUAUUCACACCUGUAAAUUGAUAAUUAACUCACAAGCCAGCAAUUUAGCUUGUAAUUCUUUCUUACCAUAGAGUAUGGGCGGCCUACCAGUGUGUAAGUGCCUGGAGGGCAGGGUCAGGCAUACUUUUCCAUAGUUUGCAGUGCGGUACUGGCCCAUGGAAGGCACUCAGUAAAUCUUACCUUCAUGAUUUCCACGAAUUCAUGAAGUUUAUCAAAAUCUUUGUCCAUUACAUCUUUUAUCUAAUGAGGAAGAAAAGCAUGAUUUGACCAAGCACAGAGAAUAUUGUGGAAGUCAGUUGUGUCUUUGGGGUAUUUUUAAGCAAAAGGCAGCAGCUGCACCUUGGGAAUGGACUAACAAUGUCCUAUUAAAGCCACAUUCUUCCCAAGGAAUCUAUGAAGGGUCUAGGGUGUACAUGCCAUCAAGUCGUCCCCACUGUCAGCCACAGUGUGGCUUAGGUCUGGCCAAUGCCAGUCUUACAUGUGGAGUUCAGGUCACAAUUUCAGUCCUUCCUUUCUUGAUUAUUCCCUAAGUAGGCUAUUGGUGGCUGUAUUAUAGAAACUCUUGUUAUAGAAACUCUUCUUCCCUGCAGCUGGCUCAGGUAAGGUGAAUAAGGAGAUGCAGCUGGUCUCUGGCUGCCCCCAAAUUCCAAGUCAGCCCCUUCCACUCAGCUUUAUCCCUGAGGUUCCAUCAUCCCAACUGUAACACCUUAGGGAGUCCUCAGCCACUAGAAAAUUGGGUCCAGGCAUCAGACAAAUUAGAAAUGAGUAUCCUAAGCUGCCCAACACUUAGCACUAAGAGGGAUUAGGGUGGAGUUGGUGAUUGCCUUCUCCUGCACUUCCGAUUCCCUUCACUAUUCCAAGUUAGGAAUCACAUUUUCCUUGAAGCUAGGCUUUCCCUCCAUAUGAUGUAAAGAUUUACCCCGUUACCUGUUUUAUCUCUUCCAUUUUUUCCUUGAGCUCUUCUCUCACCUCCCUGAGUUCACUCUGAGGAAAUAAAAUGGGGGAGAGAGAGUAAAGAAAUGUCCUGCCUGGAUGAGAAACUGGGUGCAGGAGGAAGGAGCGUUGUUGAAAGAGGAACAAGGAGAUACUUCUAUAGGGAGGAGAAAAAGUGUUGUCCCCACAAGGGGUCUGGGGACCCACAGGCAUCACGUGCCUCCCGCUGGCACUGUGCUGAAAGUUGGAAGUUGUCAGCCUGUGUCCAGGAACAUCAGACCAACCAAACUGAGGGUGACUCAGUGAAAGAAAUGACCUGUAAUCCUCAAAAAUGUCAGUGUCCUGAAAGACGAAGGCUGAAGAACCAUUCUAGAUUAAAGGAAAAUGAAGAGACGUGGCAAUCAGAGGUGGGCAGGCUCAAAAUGGCUGUGGUGAGGUCCCUUGCAUAGGCUUCUGGUGGGCUAUGUUUUGGUAGAUAAGCAAGGUCAUGGACACCUGAUUCAGUGUACGUCUUCAAGGUCAUAAACAUUUGCUGGUGAGCAUGUGUCCACUUAUGUGACCUGUCGGCACUGUGCCUUCUUUGGCCUGCAUGUUAAAAAAGGCCUAUGGAAAUGGCUUGGGGUUAAAGGGAACUGGCUGGGGGCUGGGGCUGGAAAGCUGGGGGCUGGCUAAAGGCUAUCCUGCCUCUGCAUGCAGCAAACCAACUGUCCCAACUGUGUCUUGCACUUCUUCCACCUGCUGGGAUCCUGAAUCUGUUUUCUGGGUCUGAGCCUCCGCCUGACAAUUGACAUAGUUGGUAGGAUCUUCCACAGGUUAGAGGUGUGAACAGGGGUGACCUGUGGUUACCAAGCAGCAUGUAGCUCUUGGUCACCAAGGUCCUAUUAGCAUGGACUCCUGUGGAGAUUUGGGAUACUGUGAAUGGUUUCCCUGAAAGCACAGAGAAGACAUGUGGUUGCCCUGAGGUGAACAGGAGCCCAGUGGGGGAGACUGUGAAUGAGAGAGGCAGAGUCCAGGCACUGGACCAUGGCCCAGAAGAAAGGUGGCAGCAGCGGUGCAGACAGGACCGAGAGGGGGCCUGAGGAGCCACACAAGGGUCCGCUAGGGCCAGGUGAUAGGUGUUCCUUACAGAUCUGAGAGCAGAGACUGAUGUGACUUUGUGAGCGACACUGCCAACAAGGGAGUUGCUAGAUACGGAGAAGACCUUGGAAGCCGAGCACGUCGCUGGAGGAAGAUCUCUGCACCUUGGAAGUACUCUUUGGCCUCCCCCAUGUGCUGAUGGAGUCCAAGGAGUAGGGAGAUUAGCACCUGCAAGCCCAGCCAGGGGUGAUGCGGAAGGUGGAGCAGGGCCAGCAUGGGUAACCAAGUCCGCCACGUUCUGCCUAUCAAGCAGAGUUGGAGGACUUAGGAGAACAGUUUAAGGCCACUUUGUGUCAAGCCUAUGAGACUUAGGGGUGCUGGGAGCCAACAGGGGCAAGACCCCUCUGUGCUACGUGUCCUGCAUAACCUUGUGACUCAGAUGGGCUAGACGGUGCCCAAGUGUGCCAGGACUCAGCAGAGACCAAAAGAGAGGCAGCAGAGACAAGAGGCUUCAGGAGGUGCCAAGGCCUAUUACUUACGUAGGUGAACCAGAAACAAGCCCAGACCUUGGAGGUAAGGCACCUGUACUGUCCAGUGUACUGAUAACCCCAGCUGUGGACAACUGCCUGUGUGGACGGUGGUGACUGAGGAGCCAGAGACAGACUGGGUCUGGUUUGAAACCAGUGCGAGACAAAAUAGCCGGUGGGCUGAGCUGAAUGGAAGGCAAGUGAAGCAU